rfam:Camelus ferus unplaced genomic scaffold scaffold823, whole genome shotgun sequence.
GAGGGUAUAGCUCAGUGGGAGAGUGCAUGUCUAGCGUGUUUGAGGUCCUGGGUUCAAUCCCCAGCACCUCCA